UUAAAAAACAUUAUUUUGUAGAUAAAUGGAGUCCAGCUUUGCAGAUUCGUACUGUUCUUCUGUCUAUUCAAGCUUUAUUAAGUGCUCCCAAUCCUGAUGAUCCUUUAGAUAAUAGUGUGGCAGAACAUUGGAAAACUAAUGAAAAGAGUGCUAUAGAUCAAGCUCGUCAAUGGACUCAGCUUCAUGCCAGAGCAAACAAUGUCAACAGUCACUGAGUGCACAUUUGAUUAGUAUUUUUUAAAUCUGUUGUAUGUAUUAAAACAAUUUUGAAAUAUCUUGACAUUUCAAGAGAAGGAAAAUAAAGAUAUAUUUGAAAAAUUUUAUUAUUUAUUUUCAGUGCUCAUAUUAGUGGUUUUUCCCUUAAAUGGGAAAUAUUAAGAAAAUUUUAAAGUGUAGAUAAUAUGAAUGAUUUUUUCCUUUGUAAAUAAGGCUUUAAAAUUUCUUUAGCAGCCUUUCUUAGUCAUAAUGUUUUUGUUAGCAUACCUUUUUGUUUUCUGAUUUAAAAUGUUUUUAGGGAAAGAAGUUAUAUAGGCUAGUAAUUGAAUGUUUAUUUUUUUUAAAUCUGAUAUAAUUUAUCUUGACGGAAGAAGUAAAGAAACUAAAGAUUACCAUAAUAAUUAAAAAUUAUGAAUUUCAUUCAAUUUAUAUAAGAAAAUUUUUGUUCAUUAUGUGUAGCUAUAUUUUUUAAAUCAUGAAACAAUUGUAUCAUUUAAAUGUUGGUAAAUAAAAUAUAAAUUACCAUACCC
rnacentral:sRNA from 1 species